GAUGAACGCUGGCGGCGUGCCUAAUACAUGCAAGUCGAGCGAACAGACGAGUAUCUUGCUCCUCUGACGUUAGCGGCGGACGGGUGAGUAACACGUGGAUAACCUACCUAUAAGACUGGGAUCACUUCGGGAAACCGGAGCUAAUACCGGAUAAUCUAUUAAACCGCAUGGUUCCAUAGUGAAAGACGGUUUUGCUGUCACUUAUAGAUGUAUCCGCGCCGCAUUAGCUAGUUGGUAAGGUAACGGCUUACCAAGGCAACGAUGCGUAGCCGACCUGAGAGGGUGAUCGGCCAAACUGGAACUGAGACACGGUCCAGACUACUAGGGGAGGCAGCAGGAGGGAAUCCUCCGGAAUGGGCGAAGGCCUGACGGAGCAACGCCGCGUGAGUGAUGAAGGUCUUCGGAUCGUAAAACUCUGUUAUUAGGGAAGAACGAAUGUGUAAGUAACUAUGCACGUCUUGACGGUACCUAAUCAGAAAGCCACGGCUAACUACGUG
rnacentral:rRNA from 1 species